rnacentral:misc_RNA from 1 species
AAGUCGUAACAAGGUUUCCGUAGGUGAACCUGCGGAAGGAUCAUUAUUGAAUUAAUGUAGAGUUGGUUGUAGCUGGCAUUUCCUUUAAUUUGGGGAUUGCAUGUGCACACCUUCUCUUUCAUCCACACACCCCUGUGCACUUGUGAGACAGAUUGCUUUUUGGAGGGGGAACUUUAUUGGACCCUUUCUUUUUGGCUCUCUGUCUACUUAAUUAAUAUAAACUCAAUUUAUUUUAAAAUGAAUGUAAUGGAUGUAACACAUCUAAUACUAAGUUUCAACAACGGAUCUCUUGGCUCUU